rnacentral:tRNA from 1 species
GCGACCGUAGCUCAGAGGGAGAGCACCACCUUGACACGGUGGGGGUCAUAGGUUCGAUUCCUAUCGGUCGCA